UCCCAAUGAAGAAACAUUCACAUGUCUUACUUCCUGUCUUAGCUCCAGAGCCUGUGAAGGUGAACCCACUGGGGCUAGCUGGGGGAGAAGAGGAAAGUUGGUUCCAGAAGGAACUGUCUGAGGGAC
ensembl:snoRNA SNORD22 Small nucleolar RNA SNORD22